GGGUUGUGAGGUUAAGCGACUAAGCGUACACGGUGGAUGCCUAGGCAGUCAGAGGCGAUGAAGGGCGUGCUAAUCUGCGAAAAGCGUCGGUAAGCUGAUAUGAAGCGUAAUAACCGACGAUACCCGAAUGGGGAAACCCAGUGCAAUUCGUUGCACUAUUGCAUGGUGAAUACAUAGCCAUGCAAGGCGAACCGGGGGAACUGAAACAUCUAAGUACCCCGAGGAAAAGAAAUCAACCGAGAUUCCCCCAGUAGCGGCGAGCGAACGGGGAAGAGCCCAGAGUCUGAAUCAGUUGGUGUGUUAGUGGAAGCGUCUGGAAAGUCGCACGGUACAGGGUGAUAGUCCCGUACACAAAAACACACUGGCUGUGAACUCGAUGAGUAGGGCGGGACACGUGACAUCCUGUCUGAAUAUGGGGGGAC
rnacentral:rRNA from 1 species